CCAGCACCCCGAGUGGUCGGGACGAUUAUUGGGCCUAAAGCAUCCGUAGCCGGUUUUACAAGUCCUCCGUUAAAUCCAACUGCUUAACAGAUGGGCCGCGGAGGAUACUAUAAGACUAGGAGGCAGGAGAGGCAAGCGGUACUCAGUGGGUAGGGGUAAAAUCCGUUGAUCCAUUGAAGACCACCAGUGGCGAAGGCGGCUUGCCAGAAUGCGCUCGACGGUGAGGGAUGAAAGCUGGGGGAGCAAACCGGAUUAGAUACCCGGGUAGUCCCAGCUGUAAACGAUGCAGACUCGGUGAUGGACUAGCUUCAUGCUAGUCCAGUGCCGCAGGGAAGCCGUUAAGUCUGCCGCCUGGGUAGUACGGUCGCAAGACUG
rnacentral:rRNA from 1 species